rnacentral:misc_RNA from 1 species
GAUGAAGAACGCAGCGAAAUGCGAUACGUAAUGUGAAUUGCAGAAUUCAGUGAAUCAUCGAAUCUUUGAACGCAUAUUGCGCUCUCUGGUAUUCCGGAGAGCAUGCUUGUUUGAGUAUCAGUAAACACCUCGACUUCCAUAUCUUUUUUGAAAUGGGAGUUGGACUUGAGUGAUCCCAACGCUUUUCCUCACCGAAAAGUGGCGGGUUACUUGAAAUGCAGGUGCAGCUGGACUUUUCUCUGAGCUAUAAGCAUAUCUAUUUAGUCUGCCUAAAAAACAGAUUAUUACCUUUGCUGCAGCUAACAUAAAGGAGAUUAGUUCUUGUGCUGACUGAUGCAGGAUUCACAAAGACGGCUUCGGCCGACUUUGUAAACUCGAUCUCAAAUCAAGUAAGACUACCCGCUGAACUUAAGCAUAUCAAUAAGCGGAGGA